rnacentral:rRNA from 1 species
UACGAAGGGGGCUAGCGUUGCUCGGAAUCACUGGGCGUAAAGCGCACGUAGGCGGAUUGUUAAGUCAGGGGUGAAAUCCUGGAGCUCAACUCCAGAACUGCCUUUGAUACUGGCGAUCUUGAGUCCGGGAGAGGUGAGUGGAACUGCGAGUGUAGAGGUGAAAUUCGUAGAUAUUCGCAAGAACACCAGUGGCGAAGGCGGCUCACUGGCCCGGUACUGACGCUGAGGCGCGAAAGCGUGGGGUGCGAACAGG